UCUGGCUCAGGAUGAACGCUGGCGGCGUGCCUAACACAUGCAAGUCGAACGGGGCAUCAGCGCUGACGAGACUUCGGUCAAAUCUGUUGAUGCUAGUGGCGGACGGGUGAGUAACGCGUGGGCAACCUGCCUCACACUGGGGGAUAGCAGCUGGAAACGGCUGGUAAUACCGCAUAAGCGCACAGUACCGCAUGGUACAGUGUGAAAAACUCCGGUGGUGUGAGAUGGGCCCGCGUCCGAUUAGCCAGUUGGCGGGGUAACGGCCCACCAAAGCGACGAUCGGUAGCCGGCCUGAGAGGGCGGACGGCCACAUUGGGACUGAGACACGGCCCAGACUCCUACGGGAGGCAGCAGUGGGGGAUAUUGCACAAUGGGGGAAACCCUGAUGCCAGCGACGCCGCGUGGGUGAAGAAGUAUUUCGGUAUGUAAAGCCCUAUCAGCAGGGACGAUAAUGACGGUACCUGAGUAAGAAGCCCCGGCUAACUACGUGCCAGCCGCAGC
rnacentral:rRNA from 1 species